GGCGGGUUGCCCGAGCGGCCAAUGGGAGCGGACUGUAAAUCCGUCGGCUGAUGCCUUCCAAGGUUCGAAUCCUUGACCCGCCA
rnacentral:tRNA from 2 species